GACUGGUCCAAAGGUAGUGAGUUAUCUCAGUUGAUUGUUCACAGUCAGUUUCAGAUCAAACUCCUUGUUCUACUCUUUCCCCUCUUCUCACUAUUGCUCUUGACUAGUCUAAA
ensembl:misc_RNA Y_RNA Y RNA